rnacentral:SRP_RNA from 2 species
GCUGGGCAUGGUGGCGCACACCUGUAAUCCCAGCUACUCGGGAGGCUGAGGCAGGAGAAUCGCUUGAACCCAGGAGGUGGGGGUUGCAGUGAGCCAAGAUUGUGCCACUUCAUUCCAGCCUGGGUGACAGAGCAAGACUCUGUCUCAA